rnacentral:rRNA from 1 species
UACAUGUGGGGCAAGCGUUGUUCGGAAUUACUGGGCGUAAAGCGUGCGCAGGCGGUUAUGUAAGACAGAUGUGAAAUGCCCGGGCUUAACCUGGGAACUGCAUUUGUGACUGCAUGGCUAGAGUUUGGCAGAGGGGGGUAGAAUUCCACGUGUAGCAGUGAAAUGCGUAGAUAUGUGGAGGAACACCGAUGGCGAAGGCAGCCCCCUGGGUCAAGACUGACGCUCAUGCACGAAAGCGUGGGGAGCAAACAGG